AGGGAAUCUUGCGCAAUGGGCGAAAGCCUGACGCAGCCAUGCCGCGUGAAUGAUGAAGGUCUUAGGAUUGUAAAAUUCUUUCACCGGGGACGAUAAUGACGGUACCCGGAGAAGAAGCCCCGGCUAACUUCGUGCCAGCAGCCGCGGUAAUACGAAGGGGGCUAGCGUUGCUCGGAAUUACUGGGCGUAAAGGGCGCGUAGGCGGAUAGUUUAGUCAGAGGUGAAAGCCCAGGGCUCAACCUUGGAACUGCCUUUGAUACUGGCUAUCUUGAGUACGGGAGAGGUGUGUGGAACUCCGAGUGUAGAGGUGAAAUUCGUAGAUAUUCGGAAGAACACCGGUGGCGAAGGCGACACACUGGCCCGUUACUGACGCUGAGGCGCGAAAGCGUGGGGAGCAAACAGGA
rnacentral:rRNA from 1 species